ensembl:lncRNA
CUGCAUUAAAUUAUGAAUAUGGACAGUAAUUUUAACAAUAUUUAUAUUGUCCAUUGUGUUUACUUUAGCGAGAAGAGCCCGUCAACAUAACCGAGCAGGACCCCACGAACGGAUAUUACAACGUCCGAGCGACGACCCACGAGGAGAUCCGGCCGGGGUCUCGCGCAGUGCUUUACCAGGAGUUCCGGCCUCCAAACCCCGCCUCCGUAACCGGACCACCGGCCGGCAUCAAGCCCAACCCCCUCGCCCCCAUCGGCCGCUACGAGCCACGCCCGCCCUCCCGGAUUGCCCACAACACUUACGCCCAUUUCAACACCAUAGCCAGGACCAAACAGAGCCAUGUGCCCCCCAACCCUCCGCCUCAGACCACAGACUAUUCCCGAGAAUGUGGCCUGCUGGAGUCCACCAAUCAGCUCGCCUACGACAGCUACGGCUACCCAACCACGGCCCAGUACUCUCAGUACAGGCUGGGCUUCGCCCCGCCCCUGGAGGAAGGCCCAGCCUACGAGAUGUACCCCACAGGACAGGGGGUGGGGGUGGGGGUGAGUCAGGCGGCGGGGGCAGACCCUGCGUUAGGAAAAUACGGGAGCUCGACGCGCUUCUCCUACUCGUCUCCUCAAACGGAAUACUCUCAAAGACACACCCAGAGAAUGCAGACGCAUGUAUGAGUGUGUGACGGACCUGCUGACACACACAUGCGUUCGCCUUCGCUGAGCGCCAGAAAAGAGCAAAAAAAAGAUCAUCUUUUUAAUUAUCAAAGAAGAAAAGAAAAAAUCAUGAACUUCGCAGUAACCAGUCGGUAUGGGACACUGUAGGGGUGUAAACCUCUGACCUCAUAAUGAUUCAGUCCUUUAGGAGACGAUUCACUGCAUCCAACUCCAUUUGAACUUUAACAGAAAUCACUUCAAUGAUUCAGUCUCAAUUCAGUUAUUUAAAAAAAAACACAAUAUACAAACAACUGCACAAAAUUAGCGAAUUCACAAUUUAUCCAAUGUAGGGCAUAAAAACAGCCUUCACAUAACAGACUUCAUGGUACACUUGUAUAGUAUAGAUAUGUGCAAAAAUUGCAAAGUGUUUUAGUGUUUUUAGGGAACUUAGUUGAUCUUUUUAUUUCUUAAAACAUAAAAUAGUUCCCACUAUUUCCCAGUGUUCAACCUCCCUCACAAGAUAACACCUCACAACCUAUACAGAUGUGGGCAUUUCCAAGCCGUCCCUUAAGAUUAAGGUUAGGGACGUCAUGAACAGUUUACAGUACAUACUGCUGUCCCAUGAUUUUUGGCCUUAAACUAAAACUACUGAUACUGACAGGGCUGAUUUUUGCAGUACUGAAUGCAGUUGAAUCGUAACCUGUGGACUGAUGUAAUUUUACACCCCUAUGGUACACCAGCUAAUUUCACUGAUUAGUUUUCCAUACUCACACACACACACACACACACACACACUGCAGCGUCCACAAGUAUCCUGAUAUAUUUUUUUUUUAUAUAUAUAUAUUAUUACAUUUUUAUGGUUGAGAUGUUUAAUCUCAAUUUUCUCACCACUCCCUCUGUAGUGCACUAUGCAAAUGAGGAAGUUACAGAUCCCACAUUCUGGUAAUAGAACAGUACUAUACACUAUUUAUACACUAUGUGGGAAUCUGGAAUUUAAAGCUAUCUUUGUGGAGAAACUGCCGUUUUAUG